GAUGUAGAUGGUGUGAAAACGGAAACAAGUAUGCCGGCUCACUGUGCUGCAUACAAUUACACACUGCAUCGUACGAUUGAGACAAGGAAACUUGGAAUGACUUUUCAUAGGUUUCCCAGAGACUAUGGGUUGAGGAGGAAUUGGAAGUUUGUCGGCUUAGACCUGGUGUCAUUCCAUCAGUGUUAAACUUCCCGGCUCAUCUUGGAAGAGUACGUGCCAGAAAGACCACGACCAAGCAGCCUUGAGAUCUUAGGCAGCAUCUCCCUGAGACCAAAGAACUACAGAUUCUUCACAACCUGCUCAAACUCUUGGUACAGGACCUCACCACACGGGUCAAGAAGGUUUCUGUCUCAUUUCUACUCUGAAGCUCACCUUCUCCUGCUCAAACUGCUGACAAAUGUUUCUGCUGCUCUAAAGUCUGGUCUCCAGAACUUCCUAAAAACUCUCAAAGUCUCUUCUGCUGCAGGUUGCUUUGUAGAACUGUUGCAGAAAACCUCACUA
ensembl:lncRNA